CCUACGGGAGGCAGCAGUGAGGAAUAUUGGUCAAUGGCCGGAAGGCUGAACCAGCCAUGCCGCGUGAAGGGCAGGGACCUAGGGGCGUUAAACUUCUUUUGUGCGGGAGCAAGAAUGGUCACGUGUGGCCAUACGAGAGUACCGUACGAAUAAGCACCGGCUUACUCCGUGCCAGCAGCCGCGGUAACACGGGGGGUGCAAGCGUUAUCCGGAUUUUUUGGGUGUGAAGGGUGCGUAGGCUGGGAGGUGAGUCAGCGGUGGAAUGCCCCCGCUCAACGGGGUGAAGUGCCAUUGAUACUGCCUUGCUGGAGUGCGGAUGCCGUGGGAGGAAUGUGUGGUGUAGCGGUGAAAUGCAUAGAUAUAAGGAAGAACACCAGUGGCGAAGGCGGAUGACUGGACGGCAACUGACGGUGAGGCGCGAAAGCGUGGGGAGCAAACAGGAUUAGAUACCCCGGUAGUC
rnacentral:rRNA from 1 species